ensembl:lncRNA
GAGGUUGCAGUUCUCUUGGGCUGUUGCUGGUCAUCAGAAAGGUUCAGGCUCAUCUCCAGACUGAGAUCCCAAGUGGAGCAUUAUCAUAACUUGAAUCGCUGUUUCCCGGAGGCUGCACGUCUCGCACACUGUCCUGCUGUGGCUGGGAAUGCAUGAGGCUUGCGUCACCAUUGAGAGCAUGUGGUUAUAUAAGUGGUAUCCUAAGGAGAGGCAACAACACGUCCCUCUCGGAGAUGUCUGAAAACCUGGCUGUGACCUAGAAAAGACGCAGAGGAGGAGUUGUUUACGGUCUCAAAGGCAUCUUUCUAGUGCCCACUACUAAUCUGAUAGGAGGCCUAUGAAAAAAAGACAACUAUUCAAAACUUCUUUUUCAGCUAAAGCUUUCUACAGGUUUAGCUACAGCUGAGCAUCAUAUUGGUCACACCAGUCCUAGUUAGAUAAAUGCUAGAGCUCCAGUGCAUAUUGUUUUGAGGCAUAAAACAUGGAUCUUUUAACACAAAGCAAGCAAACAUCUUUCUUGCUUUUUCUUUCUGUUGUUUGAAAUUCCUUUUUGGCACAGUGCUUACAUAUUUGUUUUGACCACACAGCAGCGCAGCUGAAAAAAUUGUCAUGAAGUUCAAUAAAGGGAAAGUGAUAGCCAGGGCUGAGUCAUUGCAUGUAUGAGAGCUGGGAGGAGGAA